AUACGCCUAGAGGGGAAAGCGGGGGAUCUUCGGACCUCGCGCUGGCCGMGGAGCCUGCGUCCGAUUAGCUAGUUGGUGGGGUAAAGGCCUACCAAGGCGACGAUCGGYAGCUCGUCUGAGAGGACGAUCAGCCACACUGGGACUGAGACACGGCCYYGMCUCCUACGGGAGGCAGCAGUGGGGAAUUCUUCGCWAUGGGGGCAACCCUGACGAAGCAAUGCCGCGUGUGUGAAGAAGGCCUUCGGGUUGUAAAGCACUUUCNNCGGGGACGAAAAGGUNCGGGCGAACAGUCCGNNCUGUYGACGUSAACCGCAGAAGAAGCACCGGCUACUCGUCCACACYYNGUAAUACGAYUCUACGUUAAUCGGAAUUACUGGGCGUAAAGCGCCGUAGGCGGUCAUCUCAGUCUGCUGUGAAAGCCCUGGCUCAACCUGGGYAUGGCAGUGGAUACUGGAUNGCUYGAGUCUGGGAGAGGGUCUGGAAUUCCACGUGUAGCGGUGAAAUGCGUAGAUAUGUGGAGGAACACCAAUGGCNAAGGCAGCGACCUUGCCCNAGACUGACGCUNAAGUGCNNAAGCGUGGGGAGCAAACAGGAUUAGAUACCCUNGUAGUCCACGCCCUAAACGAUGGAUACUAGGCGUGUGGCGAGUUUAANCNUCCGUGCCBCASSUAACGCAUUAAGUAUCCYGCCUNGGGAGUACGGUCGCAA
rnacentral:rRNA from 1 species